UGCAGCGAUGGUGUAAUUGGCUAACACGUCGGUCUCCAAAACCGAAGAAUCUAGGUUCAAGCCCUAGUCGCUGCGU
rnacentral:tRNA from 1 species